UAAGCUACAAAACACAUUGUAGUCAGGA
rnacentral:piRNA from 1 species